rnacentral:rRNA from 1 species
GCCCCUAGCAAUAUUACAAGUAUUAGGGGUAAUGCCUGCCCAGUGACACUGUUAAACGGCCGCGGUAUCCUAACCGUGCAAAGGUAGCAUAAUCACUUGUCUUUUAAAUAGAGACUAGAAUGAAUGGCCAAACGAGGUUCCACCUGUCUCUUACAAAUAAUCAGUGAAAUUGAUCUUCCUGUGCAAAAGCAGGAAUAAAAAUAUAAGACGAGAAGACCCUGUGGAACUUCAAAUACAAGUCAACUAUUAUCAAUAUCUACCCACGGACCCACACCUAACUAGUGCUGACUUAUAUUUUUCGGUUGGGGCGACCUCGGAGUAAAACAAAACCUCCGAAAAAUAGAACUACACCUAAACCUAGACCCUACAACUCAAAGUGCCCCCGGCUAAAUGAUCCAACAUACUUGAUCAACGAACCAAGCUACCCCAGGGAUAACAGCGCAAUCCUAUCCUAGAGUUCCUAUCGACGAUAGGGUUUACGACCUCGAUGUUGGAUCAGGACAUCCUGAUGGUGCAGCCGCUAUCAAGGGUUCGUUUGUUCAACGAUUAACAGUCCUACGUGA